rnacentral:lncRNA from 1 species
CUGGAAUUCUUUCAUAAAGAAUUCCCUCAUCAAUUAUUUGGUUACCUUGUAAUACGGUUUGUAAAGAAAAAGCAGGAUAAAUGCUUUUUUUUUUUCCCCUUUAUCAGUAAUUUUCAGAAAAAUGAAUUGAUGCCCGCCCUCACAACUCCCAAAGGUGAGGUUUGGGAGGGAGUAUCAUUAGGAACUCACGAGUUUUACCAUAUGUGAUACAUUCUAAUUUAUCAUAGUCAUUAUUUUU